UACGAGAGCCUCAAGCGUUAUCCGGCAUUAUUGGGCGUAAAGGGUGCGUAGGCGGCGCGGUAAGUCGGGUGUGAAAUCUCGGAGCUUAACUCCGAAACUGCAUUCGAUACUGCCGUGCUUGAGGACUGGAGAGGAGACUGGAAUUUACGGUGUAGCGGUGAAAUGCGUAGAUAUCGUAAGGAAGACCAGUGGCGAAGGCGGGUCUCUGGACAGUUCCUGACGCUGAGGCACGAAGGUCAGGGGAGCAAACGGG
rnacentral:rRNA from 1 species